UUAAGCUAUAAAGGGCGUAGGACGGAUGCCUUGGCACCAAGCGCCGAUGAAGGACGUGACAAGCUGCGAUAAGCCACGGGGAGUUGCAAAUGAACUUUGAUCCGUGGAUUUCCGAAUGAGGAAACUCACAUAUGGUAAUGCAUAUGUAACCAUACAUGAAUACAUAGUGUAUGGUGGGGAACCCGGGGAACUGAAACAUCUAAGUACCCGGAGGAAAAGAAAGAAAACAAUCGAUUUCCUGAGUAGUGGUGAGCGAAAGGGAAAGAGCCUAAACGUUUAUAUAGUGAUAUAUAAACGGGUUACGGACCCCAUAACGUACUGAUUUUUGUAGUUGAACACAGUUGGAAAGCUGGGCGAAACAGAGUAAAAGCCUCGUAGGCGAAACCGAAAUCAGACCGGGGGUAUCCAGAGUAUCACAGGACACGAGAAAUCCGGUGGGAAGACAGGAGGACCAUCUCCUAAGGCUAAAUACGACUUGGUGACCGAUAGAGUAUAGUACCGUGAGGGAAAGGUGAAAAGAACCCCGGGAGGGGAGUGAAAGAGAACCUGAAAUCCUAUGCUUACAAGCAGACAUAGCACUACUUGAAAGUGUGAUGUCGUACUUUUUGUAGAACGGGCCGGCGAGUUACGAUGUGUAGCGAGGUUAAGUGAUUAAGUCACGGAGCCGAAGCGAAAGCGAGUUUGAAAUGAGCGAUAGUUGCAUGUCGUAGACCCGAAACCAGAUGACCUAUUCAUGGACAGGUUGAAGCAGCGGUAAGACGCUGUGGAGGACCGAACCCACGUUCGUUGAAAAGACCGGGGAUGAGCUGUGAAUAGCGGAGAAAUUCCAAACGAAUCUGGAGAUAGCUGGUUCUCCUCGAAAUAGCUUUAGGGCUAGCCUCUCGUUAGUGUACCGAAGGUAGAGCACUGUAUGAGCUAGGGGGCUUCACGGCUUACUGAACUCUAACAAACUUCGAAUGACGGAUACAUGAUGCGAGGGAGUCAGACAGUGUGAGAUAAGUCUCAUUGUCAAAAGGGAAACAGCCCAGACCUACAACUAAGGUCCCAAAGUACAAGUUAAGUGGUAAAGGAUGUGUCGACGCUAAAACAACCAGGAUGUUGGCUUAGAAGCAGCCACUCAUUUAAAGAGUGCGUAAUAGCUCACUGGUCGAGUAUCGGUGCGCCGAAGAUUAUCGGGGCUAAAACUUGUCACCGAAGUUUAGGGAUAUGCGAUUGCAUAUCGGUAGAGGAGCAAUGUGUACGGGCAGAAGCUGUAUCGAAAGGGGCAGUGGACUGUACACAAGAGAGAAUGCCGGCAUAAGUAGCGAGAGCAAAGUGAGAAACUUUGCCGUCGAAAGCCUUAGGUUUCCUGGGGAAGGUUCGUCCUCCCAGGGUAAGUCGGGACCUAAGCCGAGGCCGAAAGGCGUAGGUGAUGGACAACAGGUAGAUAUUCCUGUACCACCGACAGUCGUCUAAAUGAAGCAAUGACACAGAAGGAUAAUCAAACCGCGUUGAUGGAUAUAUGCGGCCAAAUCAUUAGGCUUAUGUGUAGUGAAGUACGCACAUAGUUAAGGCUGAGUGAUGAUGGGGAGUGAAAACUAGUAAUGAAGUUGAUGAUUCCACGCUGGCGAGAAAAGUUGCUAAAUAUGACUGAAGGUGCCCGUACCGCAAACCGACACAGGUAGGUGAGGAGAAAAUCCUAAGACGAGCGGGAUAACCCAUGUUAAGGAACUCUGCAAAAUCACCCCGUAACUUAGGGAGAAGGGGUACCACGCAAGUGGUCGCAGUGAAGAGGCCCAAGCGACUGUUUACCAAAAACACAGGUCUCUGCUAAAUCGUAAGAUGAAGUAUAGGGGCUGACGCCUGCCCAGUGCUGGAAGGUUAAGGGGAUGUGUUAGCGCAAGCGAAGCACGGAACUUAAGCCCCAGUGAACGGCGGCCGUAACUAUAACGGUCCUAAGGUAGCGAAAUUCCUUGUCAGGUAAGUUCUGACCCGCACGAAUGGCGUAACGAUUUGGGCGCUGUCUCAACAUGGGACCCGGCGAAAUUGUAGUAUACGUGAAGAUGCGUAUUACCCGCGACUGGACGGAAAGACCCCGUAGAGCUUUACUGUAGUCUGAUAUUGGAUUUCGGUGAUUUAUGUACAGGAUAGGUGGGAGACUUUGAAGCACGCCUCGCUCCAGCCGGGCACAAACCUGCGACUUCGGCGUACCGUAGCAGUUGCCGACAAACUCGGCGUGCUCGAGAAGCUCGUUAUUUCGGAUCAUUUCCUCAAAACGUUCGCGGGAAACGAAAAAGUAAUCGACGCCCUCUCUCUCUCCGGGGCGCGGCGGCCGCGUUGUGGCGGACACGGAGAACUCCACAUUCUCCCGUUCCGCCAUCAUCUUUCCGAUCACGGUGGAUUUCCCGCAGCCGGAGGGUCCGGAAAUCACCAACAGCUUGCCGCGCUUCAUUCCUCGCCCCUCUCCCCUGCCGAAGGCUCCUCGCUGCGGCCGAUCAUGCGGGCGCUGACCGUUUCCGGCUGGAGAGCCGAGAGGAUUACAUGGCCGCUGUCCAUGAUGAUGACCGCGCGCGUCCUGCGUCCGUAUGUUGCAUCGAUCAGCUCGCCGCGCUCGCGUACAUCCUGAAUGAUGCGCUUGAUCGGCGCAGACUCCGGACUGACAAUGGCAAUCAGCCGCCCGGCCGAUACCAUGUUGCCAAAUCCAAUAUUGAUCAGCUUCAUGUGCUCCGCCCCUCUUUACUCCAGGUUCUGAAUCUGCUCACGGAUCUUUUCAAUCUCCGCUUUGAUGUCAAUCACCUUUUUGGAGGUCUCAAUAUCAUUGCAUUUUGAGCCGAUGGUGUUGGCCUCGCGGUUGAAUUCCUGAA
rnacentral:rRNA from 1 species